UUCUCUUCAUAUGGCCGGCCAAAGCAAGAACAAAGGAAGAAAAGGAAGAACAAAACCCUAGGUGAAAAAAUUCAAGGGAAAAGUGUGAAAAUUCAAGGAAACAAGUGAAAAAAAGGUAAGAUUUUUCAAUUAAGCUUGUGAUCUAUCUUUCUUAAGCAUUUUUUUCUUAUUUUUCAUGGUUGAAUCACAAGAUAUCAUGAAGGAUUGUGUGCUGAUCAAACCCUAGGAGAGAGAAUUUGAUGAUGAUUUAGAUAGAUUUUUAAGAUAUAUGGAUGUUUUUAGUUGUUUAUGGUGUUAAGUGUAAGAAUUAAGCUUGAAAUUCACAUAUUCCUCAUGAGUUCUCAUUGGCCGAAUUCUCCAUGUAGAAUAUUAAUGAUGAUUUUGAUUUUAUUUCAAGUGAUUUGGUUAGGAAUUAGUGAUUUAUGGUGUGAGAAUUAAGCUUGAAAAAUUAUAAUGUUGAUGCACCCACCAUGGCCGAAUUUUCCAAGUGAAAAUGUGAGGAUGAUUUUGCCAUAUUUCAAGUUAUUUAAUUUGUGUUUGAUGAUUUAGAGUAUUGGGAGAAAAAUGGAAUUAUUUGGAGUUAAACUGGACAUAUUGGCCAAUUAAUCGAGUGAUAGAUCGAUAGGCCAAUACCGUUUUAUUUAGGUACACAAUUGAAUUUGUGUAGAACACCAUGUUUGGAUGAUAAUCUGAACAAUUUACAUCCCAUUUCAUGCAUUAGUAUAGAGCCUAAAUUGGUUUUAUAACAAUUUGGCACAAAUGUAGUAAAUGGCUUAUUGUGCAUUAUGUUUAGGUGGUGAGCAUUCUGGCAAAAGUAAAGAGAUAGUACUCGAGGAUCAAGAAUAUCAGUAAUUGGAAUUCGACUCUCGAAAUAGUGAGUAACCUUACUAUCGUCUUAAUUAUCUAAAGUGGUUUUUAUCCGAUUUUGUGAUUUUAUGGAAAAUGAGUUUAAAUGGUAAAUCUUUAUGUUUUAUAAACAAAAUGUGUUUAAAUGAAAUGAUUUUAUAAAAUUGUCUUGAAAUUGAAAAAUGGUUUUGAAAAUGGAGUAAUUGGAGACUAAUUGUUGUGUUAUAAAUCGUGGUUUGAAUUGAAUGGCUUAUGAUAAUAUUUGCAUGAAUGGCUGAAUUGGUAUUUGUGUUGAAAAUGUAUGAAUUAUUAAUUUGCCUUGAGAGGCUAUAAAAUAAAAUAAUUACCAUGUCAUGUUAUCGCAAAUUUUAUUGUAUUGUGGGUUAUAAAUUGGUCGCUGCAGUGGACGGGUUUCGUGGACCAGCCUAUUAGAGGGGCACGGUAACCCUAUUAUAUUCAUACCUCAGUAUGAGAGGCGCUGUUGGAUAACUCCUGAGGUUAACACUUUAGAGUUCACUUCACGCUAAACCACCACAUGAGGGUGAACUCAGCCAACGCCAAGGAACGGCUAUACUUUCAAAAUAAAAAUAUGAUUUAUGCGUACAUAACUUUUUAAUAGCCUUGGCGGUCUCGGUUGGGAUAGCCCUCGGCCAAGGUAUCCCUGAUAACUGAGUAUGAGAAUGAUUUUGGCACGAGCUAAAGUUUUAAGAAAUUCAUAAGCCAUGUUGAUUACUCGAUUUAUAUGAAUUGAUUUUAUUUGGUUGAAAUGAGUUGAAAGGUGAUGAAUUAUAGUAUGUUAAACUAUUUUAUCUGUCUCCAUUUACUCAGCUUUAGAUAUUUUAGAUGGUAUUUGUUUACUCACUGGGAUUAUAUAAUCUCACCACCCUCCUUUCCACCCCUUUCAAGCUUAGGAUAGUCGGUAGAUAGCUCAUUUCGUUGAAGGCUACAGUUGGACUUACAUCAUCAAAAACUGUAAGUUUACCUCUUUUGAUACUUUUGGUCGUUCGUGGGCCUACAUGUCACUGUAAAUUAAAUCUUAUGCUUUGGUUAUCUGUAUUACAGUAUGUAUUAAUUUAUUUAGUUUUUAUGCUACAAAAAAUUAUUUACCGGUAACUCUAUAAAUAUUAUUUUAUAAGAAAAUAGAAUAUUUUAUUAAAUAUUUUUAUUAUAUUCAAGUAGGUAUAGUUUCACUUUAAAUAAAUGUUUUAGAUAACUAAACUUAUUUUUUAUUAUGAAAUAUGUGUUUUCCACUCGCAUACUACAUUUUUAGCUAGUUUCGAGAUUUUUGAAGAAAAAUGACCAAAAUGCCCCUGUGAGAAAAAAAUUAUUAUUCUAUUGUUUUGAUUUGGAAAUAGUUUAUAAUCUCUCAACACAUGAUACUUAACAAACUGUUGCUCAUAGGGGAGGUGCGAAAACUGAUAUUAAAGCCUUGAAAGGUUCCAAUUGGCAUUUCGAGUAAUGAAUGUCUAUCGGGACGUCGCAGCGGUUGUCACGGGCUCGAGGGGAGUACCGGGUCGUGACACAAAUUAUGGGCUUGGUUAUGUUUCCAACUAAAUGCUUUUAGUAUAUAACUAAGUCCAUAUUACCAUCUUGUCUAGAUGUGAUUUGUUUUCCUAUAUUCAUUAUGUAUCUCAUAGUAUAAAACUCCUUUUAAACUAAAAUACAUAAUGC
rnacentral:lncRNA from 1 species